rnacentral:rRNA from 1 species
CAGUAGCCACGGUAAUACGAAGGGUGCAAGCGUUACUCGGAAUUACUGGGCGUAAAGCGUGCGUAGGUGGUGGUUUAAGUCCGUUGUGAAAGCCCUGGGCUCAACCUGGGAAUUGCAGUGGAUACUGGGUCACUAGAGUGUGGUAGAGGAUAGUGGAAUUUCCGGUGUAGCAGUGAAAUGCGUAGAGAUCGGAAGGAACAUCUGUGGCGAAGGCGACUAUCUGGGCCAACACUGACACUGAGGCACGAAAGCGUGGGGAGCAAACAGGAUUAGAUACCCGCGUAGUCCCUGUCUCUAAUAC